GGAUUGACAUGUUGGUCGUGCCUUAAGGGGUAUGAACUGACAUUGUCGAUUUCUCACCUUCUGGAGAAUCACGAUGCUCUUAAUUGGGUGUCGUGUGGAUCCAGGACCUUUACCUUGAAAAAAUUAGAGUGUUUAAAGCGGGCAUUUUUGCUCGAAUACAUUAGCAUGGAAUAAUAAAAUAGGACGGCUUGGUUCUAUUUUGUUGGUUUCUAGGAUCACCGUAAUGAUUAAUAGGGAUGUUG
rnacentral:rRNA from 1 species